UACAGAGGGUGCGAGCGUUGUCCGGAAUCACUGGGCGUAAAGGGCGCGUAGGCGGCCUGAUAAGUAGGGGGGUGAAAUCCUGUGGCUUAACUGCAGGGCUGCCUCCUAGACUGUUAGGCUCGAGCACGGUAGAGGCAGAUGGAAUUCCCGGUGUAGCGGUGGAAUGCGUAGAGAUCGGGAAGAACAUCGGUGGCGAAGGCAGCUCUCUGGGACGGUACUGACGCUGAGACGCGAAAAGCGUGGGGAGCGAACAGG
rnacentral:rRNA from 1 species